GACGAACGCUGGCGGCGUGCCUAAUACAUGCAAGUAGAACGCACAGUUUAUACCGUAGCUUGCUACACCAUAGACUGUGAGUUGCGAACGGGUGAGUAACGCGUAGGUAACCUGCCUGGUAGCGGGGGAUAACUAUUGGAAACGAUAGCUAAUACCGCAUAAUAUUGAUUAUUGCAUGAUAAUUAAUUGAAAGGUGCAAUUGCACCACUACCAGAUGGACCUGCGUUGUAUUAGCUAGUAGGUGAGGUAACGGCUCACCUAGGCGACGAUACAUAGCCGACCUGAGAGGGUGAGCGGCCACACUGGGACUGAGACACGGCCCAGACUCCUACGGGAGGCAGCAGUAGGGAAUCUUCGGCAAUGGAAGAAAGUCGGACCGAGCAACGCCGCGUGAGUGAAGAAGGUUUUCGGAUCGUAAAGCUCUGUUGUAAGAGAAGAACGGGUGUGAGAGUGGAAAGUUCACACUGUGACGGUAUCUUACCAGAAAGGGACGGCUAACUACGUG
rnacentral:rRNA from 1 species